rnacentral:rRNA from 1 species
GUGCCUAAUACAUGCAAGUCGAGCGAGCGGAACUAACAGAUUUACUUCGGUAAUGACGUUAGGAAAGCGAGCGGCGGAUGGGUGAGUAACACGUGGGGAACCUGCCCCAUAGUCUGGGAUACCACUUGGAAACAGGUGCUAAUACCGGAUAAGAAAGCAGAUCGCAUGAUCAGCUUUUAAAAGGCGGCGUAAGCUGUCGCUAUGGGAUGGCCCCGCGGUGCAUUAGCUAGUUGGUAAGGUAAAGGCUUACCAAGGCGAUGAUGCAUAGCCGAGUUGAGAGACUGAUCGGCCACAUUGGGACUGAGACACGGCCCAAACUCCUACGGGAGGCAGCAGUAGGGAAUCUUCCACAAUGGACGCAAGUCUGAUGGAGCAACGCCGCGUGAGUGAAGAAGGUUUUCGGAUCGUAAAGCUCUGUUGUUGGUGAAGAAGGAUAGAGGUAGUAACUGGCCUUUAUUUGACGGUAAUCAACCAGAAAGUCACGGCUAACUACGUGCCAGCAGCCGCGGUAAUACGUAGGUGGCAAGCGUUGUCCGGAUUUAUUGGGCGUAAAGCGAGCGCAGGCGGAAGAAUAAGUCUGAUGUGAAAGCCCUCGGCUUAACCGAGGAACUGCAUCGGAAACUGUUUUUCUUGAGUGCAGAAGAGGAGAGUGGAACUCCAUGUGUAGCGGUGGAAUGCGUAGAUAUAUGGAAGAACACCAGUGGCGAAGGCGGCUCUCUGGUCUGCAACUGACGCUGAGGCUCGAAAGCAUGGGUAGCGAACAGGAUUAGAUACCCUGGUAGUCCAUGCCGUAAACGAUGAGUGCUAAGUGUUGGGAGGUUUCCGCCUCUCAGUGCUGCAGCUAACGCAUUAAGCACUCCGCCUGGGGAGUACGACCGCAAGGUUGAAACUCAAAGGAAUUGACGGGGGCCCGCACAAGCGGUGGAGCAUGUGGUUUAAUUCGAAGCAACGCGAAGAACCUUACCAGGUCUUGACAUCUAGUGUCAUUUGUAGAGAUACAAAGUUCCCUUCGGGGACGCUAAGACAGGUGGUGCAUGGCUGUCGUCAGCUCGUGUCGUGAGAUGUUGGGUUAAGUCCCGCAACGAGCGCAACCCUUGUUAUUAGUUGCCAGCAUUAAGUUGGGCACUCUAAUGAGACUGCCGGUGACAAACCGGAGGAAGGUGGGGAUGACGUCAAGUCAUCAUGCCCCUUAUGACCUGGGCUACACACGUGCUACAAUGGGCAGUACAACGAGAAGCGAGCCUGCGAAGGCAAGCGAAUCUCUGAAAGCUGUUCUCAGUUCGGACUGCAGUCUGCAACUCGACUGCACGAAGCUGGAAUCGCUAGUAAUCGCGGAUCAGCACGCCGCGGUGAAUACGUUCCCGGGCCUUGUACACACCGCCCGUCACACCAUGGGAGUCUGCAAUGCCCAAAGCCGGUGGCCUAACCUUCGGGAAGGAGCCGUCUAAGGCAGGGCAGAUGACUGGGGU